rnacentral:lncRNA from 1 species
AUUUAACUCCAAAUAAACUUGUCGCGAUUCGUUGAGGUCUAACUCCGCCUCAAUUAACACCUUCAAAGAGCAAUAUUAACCAACCGUUUAAAUUUAACAUUUCAUCUCAACGAAUCAAUCAUACGGAAACUACCAAAUUCACAAUUACGAACUUACACUAAAACCCAAUACUUCUUGUGGUAGGGCAGAAAUUGCAAUUUAGCACAGGUGAAAUCGACGCACGCGAAAGGAAGAUCUAGAUGUGACCCAUCCUGGUUGGGGAAGUGUAGUCGCGUUACACGCGCGAUUGGAAGACACGGGCGCGCGCGAUUUUAGAUUUGCGAACGGAGGUAGAGGUAGCUUCACGACGCACCACUUCGCCAACGGCAGACAACUUCAC